GACGAACGCUGGCGGCGUGCCUAAUACAUGCGAGUCGAGCGAGCGGAACUAACAGAUUUACUUCGGUAAUGACGUUAGGAAAGCGAGCGGCGGAUGGGUGAGUAACACGUGGGGAACCUGCCCCAUAGUCUGGGAUACCACUUGGAAACAGGUGCUAAUACCGGAUAAGAAAGCAGAUCGCAUGAUCAGCUUUUAAAAGGCGGCGUAAGCUGUCGCUAUGGGAUGGCCCCGCGGUGCAUUAGCUAGUUGGUAAGGUAAAGGCUUACCAAGGCGAUGAUGCAUAGCCGAGUUGAGAGACUGAUCGGCCACAUUGGGACUGAGACACGGCCCAAACUCCUACGGGAGGCAGCAGUAGGGAAUCUUCCACAAUGGACGCAAGUCUGAUGGAGCAACGCCGCGUGAGUGAAGAAGGUUUUCGGAUCGUAAAGCUCUGUUGUUGGUGAAGAAGGAUAGAGGUAGUAACUGGCCUUUAUUUGACGGUAAUCAACCAGAAAGUCACGGCUAACUACGUG
rnacentral:rRNA from 1 species